CUAACUGUAACCCGAUUUCCUCGUUUCAUGUGACGGAGCCUUGGCCAUAGAGAUUUCGUAUAUCUUGACAGGCAAGAAACCAUCGAGAUGAUUGGAUUUUUCUCCUAGUCGCUGGCGCAAUACUGUACCGCGAUCCUUAUUGCGUUUCCGGUCUGCAUUUUAACUAGUUCCGCUCUAAUUUCCGGGGUGCACAUCGCAUCCUGCGCGCAUUGAGAAUUACGGCCAAUGGGGUGUUUGGUAUAUAGCCGGAAACUGUAGCAGUCUAAUCAUUUUCUCUCCGUAUGAGUGGGACAUGUCCCACUUCACAUAAUCAAGUUUUUUCUCCCUAUUUUGUCUUCCAUUUUAUGAAGGAAAAAAAGUUUCUUCACACCUGGGAAAUACUGAAGCUGUAUUUCCUAAUGUCAAAACCUGCUUCGUAAAUAGUUGUAUUUUGUUAGGGAAAAGUUGUGAAAACAAUACAACCCCAAUAUAGCUAAACCCCUUGCUGGCGGAUUUGCAAUAUGAAAGGUGUGUGGAACAGUGUUUAUGUAAACAAAUUUCGUUAUUUAUUGAUUUCCAAACUCGGCACCCUCACCAGUACAAAAGACCUCUAUACAGACCCUAUUAAUGGGGAUAACUCCCAAUUUACAUAGCAAGAUUCUGAUAACUCAUUUGGGAACAGCUGCCCAUUUAGCCAUAGCUCAAAGUGGGAAGGGCGUUUAGGGGUGGAUGGCAUCCAUCUGUAUCAGGAGACAACAGUUGCGUAUUUGCAGGUUAAAGUGUUGGAAGGUUUAUAGGGUCUCCUGUACCUGUAGAGACAGAUACGGGAGAUACAUAUUUUGUUGCAGCUGGAGCAGAUGAAGGCUAUGGUUGGGCUGCUGCAGAUGCUCUAACAUUUUAACAGCAGCACAGAAGGCCUGUUCAAUUUAAAAGACACACUUCAAAAUUCAAUGGCAUCUGCUUGUGAAAUAUUUCAGUGGUACAGUCUAGUCCAGGUAUAGCCAAUGUAUUGCCCUUCAAAUGCUUCAUUACCUACCAUCAUCCCUAAAAAUUUGCUAAGCUGUUUGGCACUGAUGGAGCAGAGUCAAAUAACAUCCGGAAGGCACCAUAUAAACUACCCUGGUCUAGUCCCUUGAAAGCAGUCAAAGCAACUUACAACUCACUGCACUAACAGGUAUUUAAGAACCUGCAUUUCAUAAACACACUGAUAGUAGUAGUACCUGUGUGUAUAUUGGAUUAUAAGCUAUUGUCACUCAUCCCCCAAAUCAGAAAAGGAAAAAGACAGGUGGUGUAGGAGGAAAAGCCCAAUUUGUCAAGAUUAUCAAAGAAAUUCAGUGCUAUUGUUUUACUGUUAUGUGACUGUGCCAUCUUGGUUAACACUGUACAAGCAGAAACUGUUUUUCAAAAUUUGCAGAACUUUUAUAUUCUAUUGGUUCUUAAUUGUUUCACAAUAUUUACAAGCAGAGGUGCUUGAAAGGUUUUGAAGGGAAGGUAUCAUUGUUUGUAAUCUAGGCCACAUAUAGAGAACCUUGACAGGUACAGGAAGCUUCUUCCAAGACUUCGGUACAGAAAGCAGCAGCAAAAUCCAGCAAAUGGGUCAGAGGAAGCUGAGUUUUUAAAGGACACAGAAGAGGGGCAAGAAACCUACAAUGUGGC